rnacentral:lncRNA from 1 species
AAAGAAGCUAAGUGUGUUGCACUGGAAUGAUGAAAGAAAGAGUUUGAAAACAUCUCAGGAAUCAGCAAGACCUCACCCAUUACAGGCUCAAAGAAUUUUAUUUGAAAACAGACUGGUAGUAUGCCGUGCUUGCACAGGGUCACCUAAGGAACUGUUCUGGGAUUUGUUUCCCAUAUUCAGUCAUGUGGACACUCAGAGGCCACUGCAAUUAUGUUCCAACAGGGCCUGGAUACCAUUCAUACUGUGGGCAGACAUUAAUAUCCAUUUUACCUUGUUUUGCAGACAUGUAAAAAUUGAGAGCUGUUGGGUUAUGGAGGCUGCUAAGCAGAUUUCAGAAGAAAGCCUGGGAACACCUACCAAAGAACAGCAUAUGCAGGUAGCCUCCUUUCACCUGCUGCCUUCCUCCACCACUCCCCUACCCUAUCCUUCAUCUCUCCUUCCUCAAGAGCAGCUGGAUUAGAAGUCUGUGGGACCAACAGAGUGAAAAGACAACACACAAGCUUCCCAGUGACUCAGUCAACAAUUAUGGACUAUAUGUGACUAUGUGCUGGGAUUUAAUAUUAGUUGAGAACACUGAAGAUUUCUGUCCUCAGGCAGCAGACAUCCUUGUGGGGGAGACAUGAAUGGCAUCCUCAGCACAUGGGGCAUUGUCAUUACCUUAUGACUCAGAUGGUAUAAGACUUCACAGAAAUCAUGAUAAUUUUCCUUAAUACUCAAGAAGGCUGAUGGAAAAAAUGUUACUCAGAUCGGGACCCAGUGAGGGUCUCCUCUGCUCUGGCGGUAGAAUCAGGUUCCACCGCAGCCUCGCGGCUCCUGGACGCCAGACCCGGGCCCACUUCCACCCAUCCUUUCCAAGGCGCGGGAGACGGAAACGCCCAGGACCCGGCGCCUCUUGGGAAGUGGAGUCUGGAGUGGGUCAGACUCGUCGCGCAGCCUCCCCCGCGGGACCAUGGGAGUCCUGCUGCGCCUGCGUGCAGCUGCACACGCCUCCGCACACACAUACACCUACCCCAAGCGGCUGGCUUCUGUGGCCCGGCGAAGCCUCUGAGAUCGCUGUGGCUGAGCCUUCAUAGCUCUCUACCCUGUGCCAAGAGCCACAGAACAUGAACACAGCUCAGGAAUUUUUGAGCCAAGAGAAGGAAAAUGAAUCAAUACACACAUAAAAGUUUAACAUGAUGAGGUUAGUCACUAGAAAAUAGAAUGUUUCUUAAUUUAGUAAAUAGUAUAUUUUAACAAAAACCUUAUUCUAAUGUUUUCUUUUAUAACUUAAUGUUGAAAACUUUUCCCCAGAUAUUGAAAAUAUUGUAUU